rnacentral:lncRNA from 1 species
CCCAUAGAGUUAUGAAUCUAAAAGGAUUGUUUUAAGAAAAGACUAGGUAGACUAUAGCCACUAGAUGUAGUAUAGGGCUAGUUGAAGGUCUCGUCUUCAACUAAUGUUCUAACUAGAGUCUAUUGAACCUAUGUAUGUGAUCAUCAAAAAGUGAAGUUGGUCAAGUAGAUCGACACACUAUAAUUUUCUUUUUCACACAUUGAUAGAAUACUCGAAUUUAGAAGUAGAUUCGAAAAUGGCCAAUUCACCCCCUCGUUAUUCCUACAAGCUCAUUUAAACCAACAUCUUCUAUUAGUUGAUUAUAGUCA